AAGAGAGCAUUUUGUGAGGAAAUUUUUUCAGAGAGAUUCUGCCGUGACUCUCAUCUUCAUCCCCCACCAAGGGUUUGGGGCAGAGAUUACCUGCCUCAUCUUCUCAAAACAAGUUUGAUUGGGCUUUACCUGGACCAAAUUGGGAGGCAUGUCCAAUAUGUAUCUCCGGAGAUGUGGGGUGGAGAGUGGACUGGUGUCUAAUUUGCCUAAGAAGUUUAGAGGGAAGAAAUGUUAGCCUGCGAGCAGCUUAGAUGCUGCCAUCCAAGGAGGUUACUGUACAACGACAGAGGAAACCGGCACUCCCUUCCACCGGAGGACCUGCAGGGGCAUGUGUGCUUCCAGUGGACAGAAUGUGGACCCUGUAGGAGGGUAACCUCUGCUUGUGAGGACCUACCGGGAGGAAAUUGAUUCAAGAGAUGAGAAAUCUUAUUUUGCAAACGGAGUGACGCUGAUUUGAGUACAGCCUGGGUGCAACCAGUGCGUGCGAGGUGACCUCCCAGCAGCAGGGCUGAAAUACAACAUUUUCCCUGCUGAAGACUUUUUCCCGCCCCAUUAUUGUUUAUGCACCCAGAAUUCGUGCAUUGUGAAAAGGAUUCAAAUCCUCUUCUAGUGAUGCACACCACUUAGCGAGAGAACCUAACGAUAAAUCAAAAGGUGGAGGCAAACGGAGAAUCCGAGCCAGGCGAGGCCAGGAGCAAAGACGGACCCACGACUAAGCCUUGUACCUCGAUGCCCCGGAUGGAGGUGGCUCAAGCCUGGCCCCAGCCCUCCCACACCCACAGAGAAAGAGAGAGACACAAAGACUCAAGUAAGAUUGGCGCCAAUCGGAUCCCGGAAGGGCCUGAGCCGUACAUUCUGAAAUAGCUCUUCACAUCAUUCUGGUGUGAUUCCUCAGAAAGACCUGAAUUCCUAAAACUCUUCCUUGGCUUCUCUGCCAGCCUGCCCGCCCCUCCUGCAAUGGCGCUGAAGCCGCAUCCCGAUGCAUAAAAAGGACAGGAAAAGCUUUUGGAGAAUCCAGGAAGACAGCCCUCCUCCAAAUGGUGAGUCAGGAUGGAAUCUAGACGGAUUCAUGGUUUCAGGGUGCUUCACCUACAUCCUUCUUCAGACAGUGCUGUGCUUUCCAGCAAGAGAAGAAGACCAUAGGAGAGGAAAAAGAAGAUGAAGGCCAAUGUACCUGGUGACACUGCAGAUGGGAGCAGAACGCCACCUUAGAAGAGAGAUCACACCUUCAUCAGCAUGCAUGAUUUUUAUCAGGCCCAUGCCCUGGCAUGUUGGAAAGUUCAUAAGCCAAACCCUGAGGUGUAAAGAUAACUUGGACAGUAAAAUAAGUGACAACAAAUAUCAAGUGAUGUCAUUAAUUCAGAGGACGUGAAGGCUUGGAGGUGGGGUGAAAGGUAAAAUUUGUUUUGA